UCCGGAGGGGGCGAGCGUUAUUCGGAAUUAUUGGGCGUAAAGGGCGCGUAGGCGGCUGUACAAGUCAAAGGUGAAAUCCCUCGGCUCAACUGAGGAACUGCCUUUGAAACUGUACGGCUUGAGGCCGGGAGGGGGUAGCGGAAUUCCCAAUGUAGCGGUGAAAUGCGUAGAUAUUGGGAGGAACACCAGUGGCGAAGGCGGCUACCUGGACCGGUUCUGACGCUGAUGCGCGAAAGCGUGGGUAGCAAACAGG
rnacentral:rRNA from 1 species